UACAGAGGGGGCAAGCGUUGUUCGGAAUUACUGGGCGUAAAGGGCGCGUAGGCGGCCUGCUAAGUCGAACGUGAAAGCCCUGGGCUCAACCUGGGAAUGGCAGUGGAUACUGGAAGGCUGGAGUACGGUAGAGGAGGGUGGAAUUCCCGGUGUAGCGGUGAAAUGCGUAGAGAUCGGGAGGAACAUCAGUGGCGAAGGCGGCCCUCUGGACCAGUACUGACGCUGAGGCACGAAAGCGUGGGGAGCAAACAGG
rnacentral:rRNA from 1 species